rnacentral:rRNA from 1 species
UUUUAGUGGCGGACGGGUGAGUAACGCGUGGGUAACCUGCCUCACACUGGGGGAUAACACUUAGAAAUAGGUGCUAAUACCGCAUAAGCGCACGGGACUGCAUGGUCUUGUGUGAAAAACUCCGGUGGUGUGAGAUGGACCCGCGUCUGAUUAGCUGUUGGCGGGGUAACGGCCCACCAAGGCGACGAUCAGUAGCCGGCCUGAGAGGGUGGACGGCCACAUUGGGACUGAGACACGGCCCAAACUCCUACGGAAGGCAGCAG